rnacentral:rRNA from 1 species
UACGUAGGGUGCAAGCGUUGUCCGGAAUUAUUGGGCGUAAAGAGCUCGUAGGCGGUUUGUCGCGUCUGCUGUGAAAUCCCGAGGCUCAACCUCGGGUCUGCAGUGAGUACGGGCAGACUGGAGUGCGGUAGGGGAGAAUGGAAUUCCUGGUGUAGCGGUGGAAUGCGCAGAUAUCAGGAGGAACACCGAUGGCGAAGGCAGUUCUCUGGGCCGUAACUGACGCUGAGGAGCGAAAGCCGUGGGGAGCGAACAGG